UUGUGCAGCGGGUGUGAGAGGAGCCGCUCGGUGUUUGUUGAUCCUCUCACCACCAUAUCACCUACAGCGCUGACCUCUCCCCUAAAACUGAUCAUGGACCCGUCUUUGCGCAGACUCCGAUUCCAAUUUCAUUGUCUCCGAGGGCAGCAGAUAAACCCGGGCUUGAACCAGUGAUGCCCCCCCGGGUGGAGGCACGCAGUGCACCACCGAAACUGAAAAGACCACAUUCACUCAGGGAAAUAGCUGUUCAACAUCCGAGGCUGCGACCCCGGCGUUGCUGGGGGAGUCUGAUCGGAGCGGUACCGGCUACAUCUAUACAUCUCUGCCUCCCCGCCAGGCCAGGAAGAGUCACAGACCAUUUCACUCGGGUAUUAAUGACCAACAACAGCCCAACUGCCUCUAAAACUAGAGUAUAUGAAACCCAUGAAAGCAUAUACACACACACACACACACACACACACAGAGAGAGAGAGAGAGAGAGGCUGGGAGGAGGAAGGGGGUGCGGAGGGCAAGAUGCCAAGGCAAAGAGAAAUGAGGUGUGGGAAAGGCGAGGUAGAGGAAAAAAACAAAGAGUCAAAAACAGAAAGUAGAUAAAGAUUGAGCGAUUCGAAAGGGCAUGUACUGUACAGGAUCACGAGCCGGAGAAAUAAACAACUGUCAAGGACUACACUCGCCAGCGACCUGGGGGUGCCAGUGGAAAUAUGAGGGGAAAACAAAGAUGGUGCAGCAUCAUUUAUGCAAACUCAGUUUACCGGCCUUCAGCAAAUGGAUGAUACAGAGGUCACCGGGUCUGUCAAGGGCAAGAAAAGAGAAGUUAGGUCCUCUAUUUGUUGAGAUUGGAGAAUGAAAUGAAGGCCUAUUUACGUAUCUACUAAGCUUUGAACGACAUUCUGGCAUCAUCUUUUUAUGUCGAUUUAUUGUUAUUUAAUUAACAGUUUACAGUUCAAUUCGGGUUUUUUGCUUGUUUAAACGAUGCUGACCAUAAAAAAUUCUCCCAAAAUUUCUGUGCGAAA